rnacentral:rRNA from 1 species
AGUGGCGGACGGGUGAGUAACGCGUGGGUAACCUGCCUCAUACAGGGGGAUAACAGUUAGAAAUGACUGCUAAUACCGCAUAAGACCACGGAGCCGCAUGGCUCAGUGGGAAAAACUCCGGUGGUAUGAGAUGGACCCGCGUCUGAUUAGGUAGUUGGUGGGGUAACGGCCUACCAAGCCGACGAUCAGUAGCCGACCUGAGAGGGUGACCGGCCACAUUGGGACUGAGACGCGGCCCAA